AGGCGUGAGCCACCGCGCCCGGCCUCUUUUUUUUUUUUUUUAAAGACAGUAUCGCUCUGUCGCCCAGGCUGGAGUGCAGUGGAACGGUCUUGGCUCACUGCAACCUCUGCCUCCCAGGUUCAAGUGAUUCUCCUGCCUCAGCCUCCCCAGUAGGUGGGACUACAGGCGUGCACCACCGCACCCGGCUAAUUUUUGUAUUUUUAGUAGAGACGGAGUUUCACCGUGUUGGCUAAGAUGUUCUCGAAUUCCCAACCUCAGGUGAUCCACGCACCUCGGCCUCCUAAAGUGCUGGGAUUAUAGGUGUGAGCCACCGUGCCCGGCCUGUUUUUGCGCAGUUUCCUAGCACUUCGCCCAGGACCUGGUACCUGGAAGACCUUCAAAUGUGUAUGUGAACUGACCGAAUGAAGAGUUUGGAUGAGAAGGGGAAGGAAGUUGAAGGCACGGAGACAAAGGGACUGAGGGCUGAGAAGGAGAAGCUGGUAGGAGAAGCUGGAGAGGCAGUGUGCACAGUAGUUAGAGCUGGGGUGGGUGUGACUGGUGGGGUUUGGGUUUUGGGCUCUGCCACUGAUUAGCUGUGUGACCCUGGGCUAAUUACUUCACCUCUCUGGGCUUCAGUUGUAAAUCAGGGACCAUACUAGUACCUACUCAUGGGGUGCUGUGUGAGACCUCAAUGAGUGAAUGCGUAUAAAGCACUUAGGAUAGAGCCUGGCCCGAGUCAAUGCUUGUGGGUUGAAUUGCGUGCUCCUGCAAGUUACAGUCGAGCCCUAACCCCUGGUACCUGCAAAUGUGACCUUACUUGGAAAUAGGCUCUUUGCAGAUGUGAUUGAGUUAAGAUGGGGUUGUAUGGGUUUGGUGGGGGCCCUGAUCCAAUGACUUUGUCUUUAUAAAAAGAAGGAAAUUUGGACACACAGAAAAGAAGGCCAUGUGACAACCGAGGCAGACACCGAAGUGAUGUGCUGGCAGGGAUGGGGAGAGAUCCUCCCCUCGAGCCUUCAGAGGCAGCCCUGCCCUGCUCACACCUGGAUUUGGACUUCUAGGCUCUGUUGUUUUAAAUUUGCAGUUUGUGGUCAUUUGUGACAGCAGCCACAGGAAAUAACUACCGGGGUCCACAAACCCUAGUGCCACGGCUGUUCCAGGUGACGCUGGACUGGGGGAACAGGGUGAUGGGGGCUGCAGGUACACUGCUGCCUGUGUUCUCUUCGGCACCCAUGUCCAUGUGUGGAAGGCAGAGAGCUCCCUUUGCAGCCGCCCAUUGUGUGCACGUGGCAGGCCAGAGAGCUGAUGCCCCAGCCGCAGCCUCCACCAACAACGAUAAAUACAUCUGUGUCCUCAGCCGUGGUUGGGCUAACUCCGGGGUGUGAAUUAGGUGGGGCCGAGCUCCAGUUGCCCCCUCAGUGGUAUUUGCCUGCACACACACCCUUAGUGACUUCCUUCCCCUCCCUGCAACCUGGCUGGUGCUUCCUGGGGUCACCUCCCCAAUAAACACCUGCACUCACUCUCUCAUCUCGGUGUCUGCUUCUGGGGCAGCCUAGACGGACACAGAGAGCUUGUGGAUGGUGGAUGAACAAGGCCUGUCUGAGGGAGCAAGAUCGGUGUUGCUGGAAGUCGGUCCAGGAGCUUUUUGGAUAAUCCACCUCAUGACUGGAAAACAACGAAGAAACCCAGUAGCUUCUUCGCCGUGUGGAUUCAGACCCCGGGAGCCCAGGCCUGCACCUGGGCAGCUGCUCCCUGCACGUGGCCGGACAUAUGGAAUAUGGAGCCCCGCUGCCUUGGAGUCAGAGAGCUGCCAAGUAGAAUUUGCAUGUAAUGCUGCUAUCAUUUUCAAUUGCUCUCCCAAUAAAACAGGCCCUGGAGCCGAGGUGAAUGCCGUAGAAGGCAUUUUUUCCACUGGGUGUGGGUCCAGAAUAAAUAAUCAAAAGAAAAUCCGCUCAUCCAAGCGGCUUCUUGGAGAUACGUUUUAAUUCAGACUGGUUGGAAGCCACUGAUAGAUG
rnacentral:lncRNA from 10 species